rnacentral:rRNA from 1 species
CUACGGAGGAUGCGAGCGUUAUCCGGAUUUAUUGGGUUUAAAGGGUGCGUAGGCUGUGCGUUAAGUCAGGGGUGAAAUGCCGUCGCUCAACGACGGAGCUGCCCUUGAUACUGGCGUGCUGGACUACGGAUGCCGUUGGAGGAAUGAGUGGCGGAGCGGUGAAAUGCUUAGAUAUCACUCAGAACACCGAUUGCGAAGGCAUCUGACGAAUCCGUCACUGACGCUGAGGCACGAAAGCGUGGGGAUAGAACAGGAUUAGAUACCCUGGUAUUCCACGCCGUAAACGAUGAUGACUAACCGUCGGCGAUAGACAGCCGGUGGCCAAGCGAAAGCGAUAAGUCAUCCACCUGGGGAGUACGUCGGCAACGAUGAAACUCAAAUGAAUUGACGGGG